GCUUGGUUGGCGCAGUUGGUAGCGCGCAGGUCUCAUAAUCCUGAGGUCGUCGGGUCAAAGCCGACACUGAGCA
rnacentral:tRNA from 1 species